GCCCUGGUUGAUUAAUGGAAAUCACCUCCCCAUUCUUGUCAGUGUGAAUAUGAUGGGAGUCGGAGGUUCGAAUCCUCCCCAGGGCA